GGGGAAUUUUGGACAAUGGGCGCAAGCCUGAUCCAGCCAUGCCGCGUGUCUGAAGAAGGCCUUCGGGUUGUAAAGGACUUUUGUCGGGGAAGAAAAGGUCGGGGUUAAUACCCUCGGCUGAUGACGGUACCCGAAGAAUAAGCACCGGCUAACUACGUGCCAGCAGCCGCGGUAAUACGUAGGGUGCGAGCGUUAAUCGGAAUUACUGGGCGUAAAGCGGGCGCAGACGGUUACUUAAGCAGGAUGUGAAAUCCCCGGGCUCAACCCGGGAAUUGCGUUCUGAACUGGGUGGCUAGAGUGUGCCAGAGGGAGGUAGAAUUCCACGUGUAGCAGUGAAAUGCGUAGAGAUGUGGAGGAAUACCGAUGGCGAAGGCAGCCUCCUGGGAUAACACUGACGUUCAUGCCCGAAAGCGUGGGUAGCAAACAGGAUUAGAUACCCUGGUAGUCCACGCCCUAAACGAUGUCGAUUAGCUGUUGGGCAGCCUGACUGCUUGGUAGCGAAGCUAACGCGUGAAAUCGACCGCCUGGGGAGUACGGUCGCAAGAUUA
rnacentral:rRNA from 1 species